UACGAAGGGGGCUAGCGUUGCUCGGCAUCACUGGGCGUAAAGCGCACGUAGGCGGAUUGCUAAGUCAGGGGUGAAAUCCUGGAGCUCAACUCCAGAACUGCCCUUGAUACUGGCGGUCUCGAGUCCGGGAGAGGUGAGUGGAACUGCGAGUGUAGAGGUGAAAUUCGUAGAUAUUCGCAAGAACACCAGUGGCGAAGGCGGCUCGCUGGCCCGAUACUGACGCUGAGGUGCGAAAGCGUGGGGAGCAAACAGG
rnacentral:rRNA from 1 species